GUGGGGAAUAUUGGACAAUGGGCGAAAGCCUGAUCCAGCCAUGCCGCGUGUGUGAAGAAGGUCUUCGGAUUGUAAAGCACUUUAAGUUGGGAGGAAGGGUAGUAACCUAAUACGUUGCUACUUUGACGUUACCGACAGAAUAAGCACCGGCUAACUUCGUGCCAGCAGCCGCGGUAAUACGAAGGGUGCAAGCGUUAAUCGGAAUUACUGGGCGUAAAGCGCGCGUAGGUGGUUCAGUAAGUUGGAAGUGAAAUCCCCGGGCUCAACCUGGGAACUGCUGUCAAAACUGCUGAGCUAGAGUACGGUAGAGGGUGGUGGAAUUUCCUGUGUAGCGGUGAAAUGCGUAGAUAUAGGAAGGAACACCAGUGGCGAAGGCGACCACCUGGACUGAUACUGACACUGAGGUGCGAAAGCGUGGGGAGCAAACAGGAUUAGAUACCCGUGUAGUCC
rnacentral:rRNA from 1 species